rnacentral:lncRNA from 1 species
CCCUGGGGAGCUACCAUGUUGCCUUCCCGCCACCCCCAUCAGACUUCCUCUACCCGAAACGUCAGGCCUACGUCUCUUGCAGUACAACUCCAUUAGCUCAGACCUGUCAUCUCUGCUCAAGGAACCACCAAGUAAUCACGACCACAUUAAAGAAUAAAUUAGUUUUUGGCUUAGAGCCUAGUUGUAGAAUGUUUCAUUCGUGCCUGCUGUAGACAUAUGUACCUAAUAAAGUUGGGACGAAUGAGUUAAAGGACGUC